rnacentral:rRNA from 1 species
GAUGAACGCUGGCGGCGUGCCUAAUACAUGCAAGUCGAGCGAAUGGAUUAAGAGCUUGCUCUUAUGAAGUUAGCGGCGGACGGGUGAGUAACACGUGGGUAACCUGCCCAUAAGACUGGGAUAACUCCGGGAAACCGGGGCUAAUACCGGAUAAUAUUUUGAACUGCAUGGUUCAAAAUUGAAAGGAGGCUUCACUGUCACUUAUGGAUGGACCCGGGUCGCAUUCGCUAGUUGGUGAGGUAACGGCUCACCAAGGCAACGAUGCGUAGCCGACCUGAGAGGGUGAUCGGCCACACUGGGACUGAGACACGGCCCAGACUCCUACGGGAGGCAGCAGUAGGGAAUCUUCCGCAAUGGACGAAAGUCUGACGGAGCAACGCCGCGUGAGUGAUGAAGGCUUUCGGGUCGUAAAACUCUGUUGUUAGGGAAGAACAAGUGCUAGUUGAAUAAGCUGGCACCUUGACGGUACCUAACCAGAAAGCCACGGCUAACUACGUGCCAGCCGCCGCAGUAA